AUGAUAUUAAUUCUCCGAGCUUAUGACUCCUAAUAGAUCAAUGGUCUGAUGGAGUGCAAGCCUGUAGGGUAUUGUUGGAAACAAUAAUGCCUCCCAUAGCGGAAAGGAGUGCGCAAAUCUAAUGC
rnacentral:ncRNA from 2 species